GACGAACGCUGGCGGCGUGCUUAACACAUGCAAGUCGAACGGUGAAGCGCCUUCCUUUUUGGUGGGUGUGGAUGAGUGGCGAACGGGUGAGUAACACGUGAGUAACCUGCCCCCUUCUUCUGGAUAACCGCAUGAAAGUGUGGCUAAUACGGGAUAUUCUGGGUCUGUCGCAUGAUGGGUCUGGGAAAGAUAUUGUUUCGGUGGGGGAUGGGCUCGCGGCCUAUCAGCUUGUUGGUGGGGUGAUGGCCUACCAAGGCGGUGACGGGUAGCCGGCCUGAGAGGGUGGACGGUCACACUGGGACUGAGACACGGCCCAGACUCCUACGGGAGGCAGCAGGGGGGAAUAUUGCACAAUGGGCGCAAGCCUGAUGCAGCGACGCCGCGUGAGGGAUGGAGGCCGUCGGGUUGUGAACCUCUUUCGCCAGUGAAGCAGGCCUGCCUCGUUUGUGGGUGGGUUGACGGUAGCUGGAUAAGAAGCGCCGGCUAACUACGUG
rnacentral:rRNA from 1 species